UGUAUCUGAAGUCUGACGAGGAUGAGAACCUCCGGGGGCAAGAGGUUCGACUCGAGCGAAGCGAGAGAACGUUGCGUCAGCAACGGCCCGC
rnacentral:sRNA from 4 species